rnacentral:rRNA from 1 species
CUGAUGGAUGGACCCGCGGUGCAUUAGCUAGUUGGUGAGGUAACGGCUCACCAAGGCCACGAUGCAUAGCCGACCUGAGAGGGUGAUCGGCCACAUUGGGACUGAGACACGGCCCAAACUCCUACGGGAGGCAGCAGUAGGGAAUCUUCGGCAAUGGACGAAAGUCUGACCGAGCAACGCCGCGUGAGUGAAGAAGGUUUUCGGAUCGUAAAACUCUGUUGUUAGAGAAGAACAAGGAUGAGAGUAACUGUUCAUCCCUUGACGGUAUCUAACCAGAAAGCCACGGCUAACUACGUGCCAGCAGCCGCGGUAAUACGUAGGUGGCAAGCGUUGUCCGGAUUUAUUGGGCGUAAAGCGAGCGCAGGCGGUUUCUUAAGUCUGAUGUGAAAGCCCCCGGCUCAACCGGGGAGGGUCAUUGGAAACUGGGAGACUUGAGUGCAGAAGAGGAGAGUGGAAUUCCAUGUGUAGCGGUGAAAUGCGUAGAUAUAUGGAGGAACACCAGUGGCGAAGGCGGCUCUCUGGUCUGUAACUGACGCUGAGGCUCGAAAGCGUGGGGAGCAAACAGGAUUAGAUACCCUGGUAGUCCACGCCGUAAACGAUGAGUGCUAAGUGUUGGAGGGUUUCCGCCCUUCAGUGCUGCAGCUAACGCAUUAAGCACUCCGCCUGGGGAGUACGACCGCAAGGUUGAAACUCAAAGGAAUUGACGGGGGCCCGCACAAGCGGUGGAGCAUGUGGUUUAAUUCGAAGCAACGCGAAGAACCUUACCAGGUCUUGACAUCCUUUGAUCACUCUAGAGAUAGAGCUUCCCCUUCGGGGGCAAAGUGACAGGUGGUGCAUGGUUGUCGUCAGCUCGUGUCGUGAGAUGUUGGGUUAAGUCCCGCAACGAGCGCAACCCUUAUUGUUAGUUGCCAUCAUUCAGUUGGGCACUCUAGCAAGACUGCCGGUGACAAACCGGAGGAAGGUGGGGAUGACGUCAAAUCAUCAUGCCCCUUAUGACCUGGGCUACACACGUGCUACAAUGGGAAGUACAACGAGUCGCGAAGUCGCGAGGCUAAGCUAAUCUCUUAAAGCUUCUCUCAGUUCGGAUUGCAGGCUGCAACUCGCCUGCAUGAAGCCGGAAUCGCUAGUAAUCGCGGAUCAGCACGCCGCGGUGAAUACGUUCCCGGGCCUUGUACACACCGCCCGUCACACCACGAGAGUUUGUAACACCCGAAGUCGGUGAGGUAACCUUUUGGAGCCAGCCGCCUAAGGUGGGAUAGAUGAUUGGGGUGAAGUCGUAACAAGGUAGCCGUAUCGGAAGGUGCGGCUGGAUCACCU